UACGUAGGGGGCAAGCGUUAUCCAGAUUUACUGGGCGUAAAGCGCGUGUAGGCGGCUGGUUAGGUGUGAUGUGAAAUCUUCGGGCUCAACCCGAAAACUGCAUUGCAAACCGGCCUGGCUAGAGUGCAGGAGAGGGAAGCGGAAUUCCAGGUGUAGCGGUGAAAUGCGUAGAUAUCAAGAGGAACACCUGAGGUGAAGACGGGUUGCUGGGCCGACACUGACGCUGAGUGCGCGAAAGCCAGGGGAGCAAACGGG
rnacentral:rRNA from 1 species